UACGUAGGGUGCGAGCGUUAAUCGGAAUUACUGGGCGUAAAGCGUGCGUAGGCGGCUGUGCAAGACAGAUGUGAAAUCCCCGGGCUUAACCUGGGAACUGCAUUUGUGACUGCAUGGCUAGAGUGUGUCAGAGGGAGGUGGAAUUCCGCGUGUAGCAGUGAAAUGCGUAGAGAUGCGGAGGAACACCGAUGGCGAAGGCAGCCUCCUGGGAUAACACUGACGCUCAGGCACGAAAGCGUGGGGAGCAAACA
rnacentral:rRNA from 1 species